rnacentral:misc_RNA from 1 species
GGCGCAAGAAAAUAAUUGCCAUCCAAAUUGUCAAAUUCCCAAACCCAAAAUUCACUGGCCAGAGAAAAAUCUCUUUUCUCCUUCUCCACUAGAAUUUGAGAAGUGGAAAGUCCAUUAUUUCUUUUUGGAGUUCUCAAAUAGAAAACGACUCUCCUGUUCACUCUUACCGUCACUUAUAUAUCAUCACCAGCCUUUUGUUUUUGGCUCUACUUCCUCUCCUCUAUCAUAAACCUCAAGUGGGUUUUUGUUGUUUGGCUAAUUCAUUCCCUCUGAAGCUCGGAAUUUGCGCUAUAACAAAUGGGUUGUUAGCGUUUUGCUUGUUCUUCAAUUGGGUUUGUGACGUUUGUCAGCAAAUUGUUGUCUUGGACUGGUUUUCAUUAUCAUUUUUGUUAGAUCGUCUUUUGUGUCUCUGCAUGUGUGUUUAAGAGGGGAAGGGAGAGAGAGAGAGAGAGACAGAAUUGCAUUAUUGUGUUGUAUUUACCAUACAUACAAGCAUAUGCUGCAGUGUAUUCAAUUGUAUUCUGAUUCAGUGUUUUAGUUGAGACAUAUUUUUAGCAUCUUCAUAAUCUCCUCCACAGGUGUUGUGGGUGAGAUUCUAACUACAUAAAAAAUUGGGUUAAAGUUCAAAUACACCCCUAUGCUUAUUGGGGAAGUUUAAUUUAGUCCAUUUUCAACUUUACUGCAUUUACUAUG